GGGAUAACAGUUAGAAAUGGCUGCUAAUACCGCAUAAGACCACAGCACCGCAUGGUGCAGGGGUAAAAACUCCGGUGGUAUGAGAUGGACCCGCGUCUGAUUAGCUGGUUGGUGGGGUAACGGCCUACCAAGGCGACGAUCAGUAGCCGACCUGAGAGGGUGACCGGCCACAUUGGGACUGAGACACGGCCCAAACUCCUACGGGAGGCAGCAGUGGGGAAUAUUGCACAAUGGGGGAAACCCUGAUGCAGCGACGCCGCGUGAAGGAUGAAGUAUUUCGGUAUGUAAACUUCUAUCAGCAGGGAAGAAAAUGACGGUACCUGACUAAGAAGCCCCGGCUAACUACGUGCCAGCAGCCGCGGUAAUACGUAGGGGGCAAGCGUUAUCCGGAUUUACUGGGUGUAAAGGGAGCGUAGACGGUAUGGCAAGUCUGAUGUGAAAGGCCAGGGCUCAACCCUGGGACUGCAUUGGAAACUGUCGAACUAGAGUGUCGGAGAGGCAAGUGGAAUUCCUAGUGUAGCGGUGAAAUGCGUAGAUAUUAGGAGGAACACCAGUGGCGAAGGCGGCUUGCUGGACGAUGACUGACGUUGAGGCUCGAAAGCGUGGGGAGCAAACAGGAUUAGAUACCCUGGUAGUCCACGCCGUAAACGAUGACUACUAGGUGUCGGGUAGCAGAGCUAUUCGGUGCCGCAGCCAACGCAAUAAGUAGUCCACCUGGGGAGUACGUUCGCAAGAAUGCAACUCAAAUGAAUUGACGG
rnacentral:rRNA from 2 species